UGGAGCCAAUCCCCGCUGCCUCCCUGAGCCCGCGAGCAGUAUCCCGGGUCCCCCUGGAUAACGGUCACCCCGUUUCUGACCAGGGCUUUUCUUUUUCAAAGCUCCCUGGUGGGGGGGGGGGGGGGGGGACCUGGGCUGCCAGCCGCCAUAAGGGUCACCCAUGGCUGUACCCACCAGGGUGAAAGCAACAGGGGAAUGCCCCCUGGGGCUGAGCGAGGAGCCCAGCCCCCUCCCCACCCCGCUGCAGGCGCCAGGAUUGCUCGGGGCUGUCCCAGGGGACCGCACCUGCUCUCCUCGCUCUCCAGCAGCUUGCGGCUGUCACCGUGUUUCCCAGCCGUCACCUGCAGCUCCUCGUACUGCAGCCCAGAGAAGAGAAGAGCUGGGGUGACCUGACACAGAGCUAAGGAAUGUUCAGGAGGGGGCACAGAAUUUGUGCAACACCACGGCAAUCAAGAGCAGCCACCUCUUUGGAGCAGAGCCCUUAGGGACAGGUGUCGAUGUGUCAAUAAUAGCCAACCUUUGCCUGCACUUUCAACAACAGGACGGGGCCGCAACAACCACCUCCUCCCUGCGCGCUCUGGCUGAGACGUUCAGGUUUUGCAAUUGCCGGCGACCGAAUCGUGGGAAAGUUACCAAAAAAAAAAAAAAAAAAAUUGCGCCUGCAAGUAAUAAAUGUGCACAUCCACCAA